rnacentral:rRNA from 1 species
UACGGGGGGGGCAAGCGUUGUUCGGAAUUACUGGGCGUAAAGGGCUCGUAGGUGGCCAACUAAGUCAGACGUGAAAUCCCUCGGCUUAACCGGGGAACUGCGUCUGAUACUGGAUGGCUUGAGUUUGGGAGAGGGACGCGGAAUUCCAGGUGUAGCGGUGAAAUGCGUAGAUAUCUGGAGGAACACCGGUGGCGAAGGCGGCGUCCUGGACCAACACUGACACUGAAAAGCGAAAGCCAGGGGAGCAAACGGG